ACCCUAUGGUUAGGACAUUUCCUGAUAAUGUCUUUGUAUUUCUCCCAUGCUUCAUAGAGAUUUUCUCCACAAAACAUUCUGAAGCUAGAGAUUUCAGCUCUUACAUAAGCUU